UACACGUAAAGAUACAAGUGCUUGGUCCAAAUCUGGAGGUGCGUGACGGUCGAUCUCCUUCUCCCAACCCUCCUACAAAUGGCAAUAUUUUCCAUCCCUUUUUCUUCUCAGACCCCCAUCGUCUCCCACCCUAUCUAUUUAUAUCCAUAUCUUCCAUUCUCCAUCAGAUCAUAUCAGAUCAGACGGGGCACAUCUCCAGUUUGUGCCUGAAUCAAACCCCAUCUCAGCUGUCCAUCUGUCUGAUGGCUAAUCCAACGGUGUUAGAUUCACGCACAAACUCGUGAUCUGUCUCCUCUUCCAACACCGUACCCCCCUUUCCUGCUUCGCUUUUUAUCUGAAUUACUUUUCUUUGCAAAAAUAAAAAUUAAUUUAGCUUUUUGGCGCCAAUUCCGAUUCAGAUUUUCCCUCUCAAUCAGUUUUUGUUUCCCUCCAGACUCGGAAGAAGAAGAAUUGGGGAGGGGAAGAAUCUGAAAUAUUUGGGAAUCGGAUCGAAUGGAUUCGGGUCUGGAAUCAGGGUCAACGGAGGAUUACGAGACGGACGUGAAGCUCCUGAAGAGUGCGUGGCGGCAGGAGAAGGCCACUCCGGAGGUUCUUCAGUUCGAGAGUGCCUUGAUUCGGAGAAUCAUUGAGCAGAUCCAAUUGAUGGAAGAAACUGUGGAGGAGUUCACUGAGAGCGGUAUUGAUCCGCUUACCGUGUCACUCUACCAGAUGGAUUUGGACAGGACUCAGUUUUUGUUGAGAUCUUAUUACCGAAUUCGUUUGCAGAAGAUUGAGAAAUACAUGUUUCACAUUCGGGAUAAUGCUGAAAGCCGUCUCUAUGAUAAGGAGAAGCUGUUUGUUGAACAGCGAGGACUCCAACUAUCUCAUUUUUAGUUUGUGUUCAUUCAUUGGAAGCACAUGAUUGAGAUUUACUGUGUUUUGGAGUUGACAUGGUUAGUGGUUGCAGGUGCUGCGCUGAUUUGCAGACGCAUCUUGAAAAGAGCGUUCUGUUGCAGUUGCCUUCUACUUAUCAGUCUGUAUUCCGUCAAUCAAGUGAAAAGGAGACUGACAUGGGCAGAAUCGUAUAUGGUCGCUAUUGUGCUAAGAAAAACUUGUAAUAGCAUGCAGUGAGGUAUCCAAUGACAAGCUAGUGUGGAACCAAGGUUGUUUUCUAUGAAAAACUUGAAAUUCUUAGCCCCCCCCCCCCGGUAGUCUGAUCUUUCCCCGCGUGCCGAGACCCCAAUUGGAUACAUUUGUUGUCUGCAAAACGAAGUACCAUCUUGGACAUAUCCAGCUCAAAACCAAGUACCAUCUUGGACAUAUCCAGCUCGAGGACAGUGGAGAUGGAGAAUCAGAUAGCAGGCAACUCAUAUAUUCAUACUUAUUUACUCUUAUAGAGACUGUUGUUUCUUGUUCAGCUUACCGGUUUCAAUUCCCCUUAUGACAGUGCGAGCCAGAGACCAUUGGACGAGCCGUUUGAGAUGGAGCCUAAUGUGUUGUACUUUGUACGUUAUAAAGCAGUGAAGAAAUUUAAGAUUGAUUUAUACUGAGUACAAUCUUGCACCCUAUUGCUUGACCGAUUUCAUCUUGCACCCAUCAUGGAAGUGAGUUUCUGUGCAACAUCCAGCGCUUCUACGUCGAAUGUUGAAAAUGAUGAAAUCCUCAAACCAAAGGUGACGUCGCGGUCUCUCCACCUUAUUGCUUUACAACAUUUGCUUAGAAACUAUCCACGUGCAAGUCGGGGGAGCGGUUUUCUCCCUAGCAGGAUCUGUAUGUACUAAUCAUUUAUCAUUGCUUAAGAAUGGUCAUUGUGUACGAUUGCUAUUCUUUUCGAUGGAUUUUUAGUGUGCCGGAAACAUGACCAAAGGAAAAUUUCUCGUUUUUAUUAAUGUCAAUUUUUUUGGCAAA